AAAAAAAAAAACAAAACUUGUAUAUCAACCAUUUAGAGCAUUUCAAUGACUGACUAUAACAUUUUGGCAUGUUGUGUGGUAUAUUUGACAUGUUUCUAUUAUAAGGGUAUACUCUAAGAUGUGGGCGUUGUGAAGGACUGUUGCAGUACAUAAUAUACAUUUGAUCAAGUGACUGAAAAUGUAGGCCUUGUUAAAAUUGAUUAAUGGAGAUGCUAUUGAAUGUGAAAGUUGAAAUUGGCCCAGUGGUUCUUGAGAAGAAGUCAGAAAUGUGAAAGUUUACAGACAGACGGACAACAGGGGAUUGGAAAAGCUCACUUGAAUUUUCAGCUCAG